rnacentral:rRNA from 1 species
GAUGAACGCUAGCGGCAGGCUUAAUACAUGCAAGUCGUGGGGCAGCAUGAAUGUAGCAAUACAUUUGAUGGCGACCGGCAAACGGGUGCGGAACACGUACACAACCUUCCUAUAAGUGGGGAAUAGCCCAGAGAAAUUUGGAUUAAUACCCCGUAACAUAACGAUGUGGCAUCACAUUGUUAUUAUAGCUUCGGCGCUUAUUGAUGGGUGUGCGGCUGAUUAGAUAGUUGGCGGGGUAACGGCCCACCAAGUCUACGAUCAGUAGCUGAUGUGAGAGCAUGAUCAGCCACACGGGCACUGAGACACGGGCCCGACUCCUACGGGAGGCAGCAGUAAGGAAUAUUGGUCAAUGGACGCAAGUCUGAACCAGCCAUGCCGCGUGAAGGAUUAAGGUCCUCUGGAUUGUAAACUUCUUUUAUUUGGGACGAAAAAAGGCUAUUCUUAGUCACUUGACGGUACCAGAUGAAUAAGCACCGGCUAACUCCGUGCCAGCCGCCGCCGUAACAC